ensembl:snRNA LOC120098341 U6 spliceosomal RNA
GUGACAGCACAUAUCCUAAAAUUGGAAGGAGACAGAACAAGUUAGCCUGGCCUCUGUGCAAAGGUGACAUGACAAUCUGUGAAGUGGCCCAUAGUUUU